rnacentral:rRNA from 1 species
AACGAACGCUGGCGGCAUGCCUAACACAUGCAAGUCGAACGAGACCUUCGGGUCUAGUGGCGCACGGGUGCGUAACGCGUGGGAACCUGCCCUUAGGUUCGGAAUAACUCCCCGAAAGGGGUGCUAAUACCGGAUAAUGUCCUCGGACCAAAGAUUUAUCGCCUUUGGAUGGGCCCGCGUUGGAUUAGCUAGUUGGUAGGGUAAAAGCCUACCAAGGCGACGAUCCAUAGCUGGUUUGAGAGGAUGAUCAGCCACACUGGGACUGAGACACGGCCCAGACUCCUACGGGAGGCAGCAGUGGGGAAUAUUGGACAAUGGGCGAAAGGCUGAUCCAGCAAUGCCGCGUGAGUGAUGAAGGCCUUAGGGUUGUAAAGCUCUUUUACCCGGGAUGAUAAUGACAGUACCGGGAGAAUAAGCUCCGGCUAACUCCGUG